CUAGUAUUACCAUCGGAGCCCAAAUCCAGUGAAAAGGUGAUUUCUUCUCGAUGUCCACUUGCCAAUUUUAGAGAAGAAUCUGAAUAGAGCUGGAGAUAUCUUUUCCAGGAAAGGGUAUUCUGUUAUCAUCUGAGGACAAGCAGAAGGACAUAGCCACUUCUCACCUGGACUCAUAAGCUACCUCCCAACUCAUGGCCUCAUGAAUACCUAGUGGUACAGACAGAGGAGAAGUAAAUACAUCAGUUCAUUUUUAGACAGUAAUGAGAGCUAUGCAGGAAAUGCACCAGAAUCAGAGCCUGCCACUUUGAGGCAGUGGAAUGAGCUGAGAUCUGACUGCAGAGAAGGAAUAUUCAUUGAUAAUGCAGAGGAAGAAAAGUCCAAGCCAGAGCCCAAGCUGUUGGGCAUCCCUGUGAUAGAAACAACACUCACGUAUUCAAAAGAGCAGACUGCAGUGUGGCUGGAUGCUGGUGAUUUU